rnacentral:tmRNA from 6 species
GGGGAUGACUUGGAUUCGACGCAGAGAUUGCACUUUUAUAAACGGCUAGAGCGGAUCUAUCCGCAAAUAGAAAACCUAAACGCAAGAAACACACUUGCUGACGCUUUCGGCAGCAGAGAGGCUCUGGCUUACCAACCUCUUUACGCCUAAGCUCACUCUGCCUCGCUUUCUCCUGAUUCAAGCGGGGUAAGGGGUUAACCAAUCGGGAUAGGUUGUACAGGUUGUUCGGUGAGCUGUACGACUGAUAACAACCACCGGAGCUUUGUCUCGACACUGCUUGCAGUGACGGACUAUCUCUAGCUAAACGUUUUUAAAAGUAGCCUUUGCGGACCCGGGUUCAACUCCCGGCAUCUCCACAC